rnacentral:lncRNA from 1 species
CACCUUAAGUAAGACUCUUGUCCUUGUUCAUAACCUGAGAAACAAAUAUAAUGUGGCUGAUGGUCGGCCUCUUACUCAUCUUCAUCUUCUCCAGCUUCACUUAAUGAUUAUUCCUCUUUAGCAAAGCCAUGCCGUUUUUCUGCCUCAUCUUCAAAGCUUGUUUCAACAUGGCCUAAACUGAUUUGAUAUUCAGUUUCAUCUUGUUCAUCAACUUCCAGAUC